AUGCACCCAGCACACAGUAGGUACUCAGCUACCAUGCUAGAGGGUUUGGACUUCAUCCCAGAGGCAGCUGGACCCACUGCUUCCAUGCCCCCCGCCUUCCUGGGCCAGGGCAGCUGCAGGCCUGAUGGGGUGUUUUUAUCUCCAACCCACAGUGGGCUCCGCAGAGCUCGGCAGAGUCCCUGGGCGCACGGACAAAGAGCUGUUGUUCCCUCGGAUCUAAAAUUGCCUCCCUCUGAUUGCCGCUAUACAAACCCAGGCGGCUGCUCGCUUCCCCCAUCCAGUUGGGUCUAUUUCAAGAACACGCUGAUUAGCGCUGAUUGCGCCUUGAUUGUGGCGGGCGCCUUGCCCAGCCCCCUCCCCAGGCUCCGUGUGCGGAGUAGAUGCUCCUGCUCCCCCACCACGGCUCCCGCUGUCACCCAGGGGCCACCAGACCAGGAAACCGGACGCUCACCACCUUGGCUUACGUGAGGAUAUGUGCAUCGAUGUUUGAAACAGAACCUCGGCAGAGCAAGCUGUCGCCAGUGCAAAAUGUUCAUAGUGACAAUCAGGAACGGUAUGUGAACUUACCCACCACAUGUUUAUUGAGCAUCUCUCCCCGUGCAGGGCCCUCCUGUGAACGAUGUGCGAACUUACCCACCAUGUGUUUAUUGAACUUCUCUCUGUGUGCAGGGCCCUAAAUCCAGCAGGGAAGCAGACGCAUGAGCUCCGGGUUCGCCAAUAAGGGGAUGGACGAUCCAUCCAACUCCGUGAUCCAGGACCCUGAGUGGAGAACACCUGGCUUAGUCUAAGCUCUUUGUUCACCAGAAGGGUCUCAGGGAGGGUGCUGGACCCCAAGUCAGCCAGCCAGGGAGGGAGGCCAGGGGCCCCAGCACAUCACUCUGCCUUGCCCACAGCAUCUUCCCACUUGAUAAGCCUCGGCCACUGCCCAAGUGUGCUGAGGGGAGCUGGCCUUGAGCUCUAGGGAGUGGGGUAUUCAGAAGCAAUCAGUGGCACUUGUGGCUUGGCGAGCUUUCUGGCUAUUUGUGACUUAGCAGCUCUCCUGCCACAGCUGCUGGAAAUUGAGCCAUGGAGACCACUUGAUCUGGGGAGCUAUUGCUCAAGAGUUCCUGAGUCCACACUGCCAGAAUGUGAGCGUCUUUUCCCACCAGCCACGGAUGGGUAGCUAAAGGCAGAGGGAGAGAGCCAGGAAGGGCCUGCAGACAGCGGCAGGCCUGAGGGGUUAGAAGGGACACCUGCAGGUCCUGAGAGCCAGGGAGCCCAUUCUCCUGUAAGUACCAGAGACACGCUCUUCCCAAUAACCCUCCCCAGGAAGUGUCCAGAGCCAGCAGCUGGCCACAGGCUACUGAGGUAGAAAUGCCCCAGGCCUUCUCCUGGGGGUGGAGAGCUUAGAAUUUGGAGUCUCAUAGGAAAGGAAGUAGAGCCUCAGGCUCUGGAGCCAGGUUCAUAUUCAACCAUUGCCACUUACUCACUGGGUCUCAGUUUUCUCAUCUGGAAAACUGAAACAAUAAUAAUAGCAUUGACCUUGCAGGGCUGUACGAAGGUUUCAAUGCGUUCAUACAAACAAAGUGACUAGAGCAGGGCUUGGCACACAGCAGAGACUUACUGAGGAGCAACUGCUAUGCUACUUCCCCCCUUACCUGUACCUUCACGUCUUGCAGUUUCUGUUACCCUCAGUCAACUGCAGUGUGAAAAUAUUAUAUACAUAUUUUGAGAGAGCGAAAGAAAGACAUUCCAUCACUUUGACUACAGCAUAUUGUUACAAUUGUUCUAUUUUAUUGUUAUUGUUGUUUAUCUCUUACUGUACCUAACUGAUAAAUCAUAGGUAUGUAUUGGAAAAAUCAUAGCAUGCAUGGAGUUUGGUUCUAUCCUUGGCUUCUGGCAUCCACUGGGGGUCUUGGAAAGUAUCCCCCACAAAUAAGGGGGGAAUUCUGGGUGAUUGCUCAGAGUGAUCAAUCCUGCCGGGGCAGGUAGCUCAGGGGAGCUGAAUUAUCAAGCAGUUACCUAACGAAUGCAGAUGGAAAUGCAGGUGUGUGUUGCUGCUGGAACACAUUUGACACCUCUGCUCUUGACCCCUCUGAUCUGACCACAGCUGUCUGUGCAGGCUCUUCCUUUGCACUCACAGGUUAUGCUCAAGGACAUGCCAGAGUCUUUGCCUACAUGCAGUGGGGUAGCAGGGAUGCCCACAGAGUCCCAUGCACAUGCAGCUCGGAAAGUCCCGGGAAGUUAGCACCCCUUGGCAAUAGGGAACUGGAGCUGAUGGGAAAUUGUGGGAGGCCUUCUGUAUGCCCCUCAAAGGUCCCUGUUGCCACAGAGGCAGCCUGGACCACACGGCCUUAUAUUGGCUUCUCUCUCCCUGCCUCACUCCUCCCACUCCAUCACUCCUAUUCCCAGGUGUCACCUCUCACACAAACCACCUCAAACCAGUCCUUGCCUGAGAUUCUGAUGUCAGGGGAACCUGUGUCUGUUGUAGGAGCCUGGGUCCUAGCUCUGGCUCUGUCAUGCGCACACAGUGUGGCCCUGCACAGGACAUUGCCAUCCCUUAGGUCUUGGUUCUUUUGUCUGCUCCAUGAGUGGGUUGGAUCUUUGUGAACUGUGACCUGUGGCAUGGAUGACUCAGGUAUUAGGGGAAGUCUGGGAUGCUCCCUAUUUGGCCUCACCCUCCCUGCCAGCCUCAGGGCCUCUUCUUCCCCCAGGUUCAGUCCAAGUCCCUUCCUUAUCCUCCAGGUUCCUCCCACCACUUGCCUUCUGUCUGCCCAGAGCAGUGUGUGAUGAUGCAGGGGCUGGUGGCCAGCGUCCGUCCACACACAGUUUCCCACAUGCAUGCUCAUGCCCCGUGCACGUACAAGAGCCAGUGUCUGAAUGUGUGGGGCUCAUGUGUGUGGGUGUGCACGUUAUGCUCAACCUCCAGACUAUGGACUGGCAUGGCCUAGGGGCCCUCAGGCAAUCCAACCACAACUACUAAUAGGCAGAGGGGAUCCAAGGUGCCCUCUGCCUGAGCGAGGGGCCUGCAGGUCACCUUUCUGCACUGCAGGCCUGGCCAGUCAGGUCCAGGGAGAGCAGGUGGGGGGCAUGAGGAGACAGAGAUGCUCUCAAGGGGAUGGACCAAGUAGGAGACAAGGAAGAAAGGACCUCAGUUACUGCUACCAUAUGUGUUCACAGAUGUCAUCUCCUCUUGUCCUCACAACCAAGAGGUAGGGAUUAAGAGCCCACUCGAUAGAUGGGGUAGUGGAGUGUGGAGGGAAAGGGAGUUUAUAUUGAGUUUGAAGUUCAAAUCCUGGAUCCAUUACUCACAGGCUUUGGGAAAAGGCCUUAAUAUCUCCAAGUCUCAGUAUCCUCAUCUGUAAAAUGGGCCAAUGAUUUCUCCUCCUCAGGAGGUGUUGGGGGGGAAAGUGAGCACAAAAUGCUUUUAUAAAGCCCAGCAUUUUCACAGAGAAAGUGGCUCUAAAGGAGGACUAUGAUUAGAGCUAAGAUGACAUGAAAUGGGAGCCAGAGACUAUGGGCCCAGACUCCCACCUUCCCCCGUUACUGUCCCUUUGGUGGCACUGGUCAGUCCCUUGUCCUUGGUGCAAGGUGGAAAGUGAGUUCCUGGGGGCCUCCUCUUCACCCUGCCAUGAGUGCACCCACCACUCAUAAGCAGAACACUGGGAAAGUCAGCUCUGGGUGGGUGCCUGAGCCCCUCC
rnacentral:lncRNA from 1 species